CUCACAAAGUAUAGAGUACUGUUUUAGUAAUAGUUUUACCAUUAAUUCACAUGGUACAACACAUUAAGGACAGAGAUCCUACAUGAGGAGUAAGUACACAGUGACACCCAUUGUUGAUUUAACAAUUGACACUCUUAUUUAUGACGUCAGUAAUCACUCGCGGCUUUUGUCAUGAGUUGCCAAGGCUAUGGAAGUCUCUUGAGUUCGCCAACUCCUAUCAUAGUCCAAGUGAAAGUUCUCUCCUCCCUUCAGAGAAAGGUACCUCCUUUUUUGAUGGCCCGUUCUUUCCACUGGGAUCUCACUCACAGAGUAGGCAAAUAAUAUUGCAUUUUGUUAUUAUACCUUAUGUUUGCCAUCAGUUUUAUCAGCCCUUUUUGUCCACUAACUUGUUGAAAUCUCACAAUGACCCCAUGAGAGGGAAGAUGAGGAGAGUGAAGCUUUAAGAGUUCAUUUGCCUGUCAGUGAUGACAAGUGGAAGGACAGGAUCUGAUGCCAAAUCUACUUGUCUCAAAGCCUUCAUUUUGAAGUCUGUUGAUAUGAAAACUUCCAUAGAUGGUUCAGAUGUUUCUAGGAAGUGGCAGUUGUAUUCUGUAAGACACACCAAAAGAAGAGAGAUGAAAUUAUGAGAGGAACCAAGUCACAGUUUUGGCAGCCAGAUCAAUAGCUAAGGGGACUCCCUCUAUCCAUAAGAGAUCUGGCCCCUCCCAUGAAGGGACACAAUGGAUAUUUUCUAGAGAUUAUAGUAUCCAGUGGCAUGAAUGACUUCAGUAUGAAGAAGGAAGAAUUCAUUUUCCUUUCUCUUGCCAGUGAAAGGCACUUAAAACUCCAUCAAGCUUUCAAUCUGUGGAGGGGUAAGACUUUUCAAUGGGCCCAGAGGCAAUAUACAGUAAAGACCUCCCCAGGACUAUGAAACAGGUUGUGGGGGCCUGUGAGGUUUUUCCUAGGAGUAAACUCUUAAAUCAAAGAAUUUCCCUUUCCAGACCACAAAGAAAAGGAAACUCUCCAGAGGAGGGCUGAAAACUAGACUUUAUCGACCUGGGUAAAACAAGAAAUGUUUACACACGUUCACUAAUUGGAUGGAAACCUUUCCCUGUAGAAAUGUGAAGGCUACCAAAAGAAUAAUGGUGUGAUCUCUGAAAUAGUUACUUUGUUUGGACGUUCUGAGUCCACAAAAUUAGAAUGGCCCCUCCUUCAAGAAGACUAUCAUUCCCGUUGUUGAAGAAUCUAAGACAAUUCGAUCCUGGAGGACAGCUUUGACACCUCGAAGGAAGGUGAAUAUUAUCAUUCCAGAAGGACUCAAACUCCCUUUUAAAAAAGCUAAGUCUAUUAUGCACACUCCUUCCCAAUCUAUCAUACCUCAAUCCUAUCAUCCAGCCGCAGUUUUUUGGGAAAAAGCCUUGCUACUUGAGGUACCAGUUCUUUUCAUCUUACUGUUCAUCAGCUUACCUCCACUAAUGAUGUGGUGCCGUGGUUUUAAUCCUGUUGAAUGAAGGCAACACAGUGAGGGCUCAGAAACAUUCCUUUAUUUCAGGGGACACGCCCAUGACACCUUCCCCAUAGAAAGACCAAGAUAGCGAUACUCUAUUUACAAAGGCCUCUUUUGGUUUUUCGAUACCCCCACAUUGGAGAGAGCUAUCUUAUACCUCACACUUGUGGUUCAACAGGGGUGGGAGGCUAUGAUAAAGACCCUUGAGUCUCAGAAAAUUAUGGUCUUACAAAAUCAUUGGGGGUUAGAAAUUCUAACAGUCCAAUAAGGUGUAACAAGUGUGUUAUUAAAUGAAACAUGUUGCAUUUGGAUUAAUACCUCUCACCAUGUGGAAGAAAAUCUACAGGUUCUAAAAGACAAUGUCAGGCUCAUAAAUAACAUAAUAGAACAUGCAGUGUCAUUGCCUAGCUGGCUACAUUUCCUCUUAUCCUCUUUAGGACUCUAUAUCAUAUGGUCAUGGAUUGCUUUCUUUUGUAGCUUCUCUUUGUAUUUUUGUGAUACUGCUUAUGUUUGUGCCCUAUAUACUCAACCUUCUUUUAAAACUUGUCUCUUCUUGUCUAGAGUCUAGCAAACUCCAGAGGGUCCUAGAGACAGAACCAUGAAUUCAGGCGUUCUACUGAAGUUCCCUGGACAAACCUCUGGAGGAGCCAUGACUGUUGUCUCUAACAUUAUCCCUCUCUAUUUCAAAGUAGACACAGCAGUUGUUACCCCCUUUCUCUAAUAUUAGGGUUACCUGUUCAAAGGGGUGAUUGAUAGAGAUAGGCUGCUCACCUGGUAGAUAAGGACAAGAGGCCCCUGCCCACCAACUGGAGAUGAGUCUUAGAGGACCUGAGGAGAGUGAAUGAAGGACUUCUGUGAACAGAGACCUAAAUUCCACCUAAAUAAGUAAUCAAAGCCAUAACUUCUCAAUGCUUCUCUUAGACCCAUCAUGAGAACUUUCCCCUUUACACCCUAUUUAAAAGCCCUAGACAAUCAAUCCUCAAAAGUUUCCUCCUUCAGAGAUCCACUGUGACUGUUGGGAGUUUUCUCAGUAUUUUUUCCAUAAACCUCCUUCACAUUGCUCAUUCUUCCUUGUCAGUAUUCCUCAUUCUUUAUAGAUGUGAGACAAAGAAACUGGCUGAGAAAAAGAAUCAUAAUCUAAAAGAGCUAUAACAUUUUAGAAAUUUGGCAGAAAGAAAAAGCUGAAACAUUUCCUGGUGACAAGACACAAACUCAAGCAAUUAUAACCACAGGCUGCUGCAACAGUGAUUGGGCUUAAUUUGUGGCUGUCCUAGAAAUUCUAAGCAGUCUGUUUAUUUUUUCUGGCUUAUAGAUACUUAUGUGAUUUUUACCACUGACUCAGUCUCACAAUACUUCUCAAAUUCAAAUUUGUCCCAAAUGUUCAGUUAAGGUGUUUUUCAAUAUGCACAGGAGAAGUGCCUCCAAAGGGGUGGCCCAUCACAACAAGCCUCUUCCUGGGCCUGUAGUAGGAUACAACUCCUUGUCUUGUCCCUAAAAAUGCCACAAUGCUAGUUUACACCCAGAACUGUUAGCCCCAACACCAUUGCAUCCAGAGGAAAGAACCAAAAUUCACCCUGCUAUGGUCUGCCUGCUACUAUGUUGGCUUACUCUCUGAUGUCACACCUCUCAGCCACUAGUGAUUUCAGCAGAGGCAUAAGACAGACAGAAUGGUACUAUACAAGUCUGCUGGGCACUGAAGCAGGUCCAGAGACCGUGUGCAGGCAGUGGCAUGGAGACAGGGACAAUUUGCCGCUGUUAAAUGCUGGCUGUUACCUACCUAUUAUGACUGUCCACAGGGACUUGUCUUAGGACAGAAACCUUUGUGAUGUGCCCAGUGUGAAGCUUUUCUAGCCUGGCACUCUGUCCCAAGUCACAAUUCUAUGACCCUUGCUCUCUGCCAAAGUUGGUGAAGAGUGAUAAAGACACCCUUCUGCCCACCCAAACUGUGCCCAGCCUGGUCACCUCGGGAUCCCACACUCAUAGUUUUCUACAAAUUUCUGGAGAUCUCCAACAAAUUUGCUGGAGGCUGGUAGUUACACACUUAAAAAUGAGUCUGACCCUGCAACGGGCAGGUCUUUGCCUGAAGCUGGGUAAGCCUAGGAGCUUGCUUGGUCUGUGAGCACCAACCGGGAGUUCGUGCUUUUAGGCUUAUCAGGCACUGGAUCUCAGCUUUGUAGACUGGUUUCUGAACUCUGUGGCUCAAUCCUAAAAUCCUUCAUCUGCCCUUUCUGUGAGUCUGAAUUUUAAUUUCUACCAAUGGUGUGUUGGGGUGGGGGGCAGUUGGAAGAGGCUACGUGGCUAUGGAAGCUACAGUUAUUCAGUGCACAGGUAUAGGCCUGGGGGCCCAAACGGGAGACUUAGUCCAACUGAAUUUUUCCCAGUGGUUUUGGCUCUGGGAUUCAGUUUGUUCCAUCUCCCCAGCUUAGUCAUGUCUCUCCAUGCCACACUCCUUGGAACUGGGAGACAAAUGACAUGGACAACUCUUUCCUUCUUUCUUUCUUCAAUUGGACUUUUAUGAUGAUCAUAGCAGCAUGAGGCACUAUUUUCUCCAACCUGGCUCCGAAGAGCUCAUCAAGUUGAGUUGGUGUGUGUGCAGCUCUUCCCAUUUUGUCUGUGUUGGGAGGUAGUCAACAGAGACUAAUUCUCUGCCAACAUCUCUGCUCUGGUUCUCCUAAUUUAUUAUUGUCAUAUCUGAUUCUUUCACAAGAUACUGGGAAUCUGAACAGAUGCAGGUCUAUCGUUUGGUAUAAACUCCUGAGAACCAAUUGGAUUCUUCAGCCAAGUUGGCUCCAGCACUCAAAUUUUAUAUGUGUGUGACAACUUUGAAAGCCAGAAGGAUAUAUUGUGAAUACUUUCCUACUUGAGGAAAAAAAAAAAACAGGAAUGCUAUUCAUCAGCUUCAGCAAGUAUAGAUUAAAACCAUCCUACUUUAUUUAACAAUUGUGUAAAGCUCUUCAGAACACUUUGCAUCCCUGUUAGUGUGCUGAAGACAUGCGGAGCCCAUGAGAUACUUUGUUUGUGGAUACUGCACCUGAAGCUCUAGUAGCGAUGGAUACCUUAUUUCACUUUCAGAGAAAGGGACAGCAGAUAAUCCUCAGAUGUCAUUCACCCUUAAGGACUGCUUCAUCUGAAAGGUGCUUUGCCCCACAGCAUACCCUAUUCUCUGAUUCCCGCCUGCAUCAGUAACAUAUUAACAUGGGAGUGUGGACACCCAGUCUUCUCACUACAAAUGCAGAUGGCUUUGAAGUGUCUUCUGCUAACAGCUCCUUGGAGAAGAGCUGCUGGGCCUUUGUUGAAAUUGUAUCCCAACACAGCCAUUCUACCAACCUAAUCCAGCUCCCUGCCUUUUUCUUUCACAGGUGUUAAGCAGAAGUAUUUUCCAGAUAGAUCCUGUGUGUUUAUAUCAUAAUGUGCUUGUUGAGAAUUCCCAACUGUAUUGUUAUUCAUUAACUCUGUAACAUUUGGAAUUGUUGUAAGGCAUUCACUGCUUUAUUUACAAAACAUGGUUGUAAGUGUGGAUGAAGAACAAAAAUGAAACAAAUUACUGUUGCUGCUUUCAGGGGUCUAGGACGAGGGAUUAAAUAUAUUAAUAAAGGCGCUGAUUGACUAACACAUACACAGAUAAGUGGCGUAGGGAUUCUGAUAUAGAAACCUCCUUUAUAUGUUUCCUGUCACCAAGAAGGGAUUCUCAGGCUCUUAAGGCAUGAGGAUGUUUUCAUAGAGUUUUUGAUACCCUGCUGUAUACAGUGACUUGAAAACUGGCAUUCAGUAUGUAAUUGUUGAAUUGAUCCUAUGUUGGAUUGCUCUGGGAAGAAAAAAAUACACAGUUGUAUUUAUGAAAUGCAUGAAGUUUGUAUACCAUAAAUAAAAGGUUUCUGGGGAAAAAUCACUUAAAAAUAAAAAAUAAAGGUCAAGAGAGGAAAAAUCACCAAUAAAUGCAUAAAAUAGGAAAAAAAGAAAAAAAUAGAAAAGGAAGAAAUAUUCAACAGAAGCUGCUUCAGACAUUGGCUUAGCAUAACUACAAAUUAAUUUGAAUGUCCAGGGAUUCAUUUUAUACAUUGGUUUAUUUAUUAUUGAAAACAAGAAUUCUAGUCAAAUAACCAUGAAACAGAAAUGCUAGUAUGAACACUGCAAAACAUGUGCUGAGGCUCACAGUGACAGAAGCAACAUUCAUAAUGUCAAAGAUGCCAAGAUUGAUUGAUUUGCUUCCUGGACAGAUAAGUACUGCCCUCCAUUUACAGUCAGGCAGAAGCUAUUAUAUUCUGUAUUUUUCCAAUUCUAAUUUUCUUCAUCUCUAACACAACCUUUCUGCAAUGCUAAUGUACAAGACCAUUAUUUAUCUAUUUUUUACAAAAAGCUGUUUAACAAAAUUUGAGUUGGUUAUGUGGAUCACUAAGAGCUUAGUCUAAAGGAAAGAGGGUUAUGUGUCAUUGAAGCAUUAUCUUAUUUGACCUAACUAUUUUUUCUUUAUAAGAAGCAAAUAUAAGUAUAGUUCAAUAGUCUG